GAGACCACUUAUGGAGCUAGAGCCGUAGAAAAUCAACGAAGAAGCAGAAGAAGAGUCACGUGGUUUUGGGUUUUAAAUCGUUUGUGGUCCGUCUCGGUUUUCCCUCCAAAUUUCCAGUUUUCUGUGCUUCACCUUGGUGUUUGUGAAGGAGCCUGCUGCUCUUAAAAAGACAUAACAACGAUAUAUUAUUUUAAUCCCAUGUAAUCCUGGUAACCAAGCCAGGAUAUGAAAUAGGAAAUGUGGCACACAUGCGGUUUUCGGAAAUCCCAGUCGAGGUUGUCAAAACACUCUCACAAAGUCCACCUUCAGGUACCCCCACUUGUUUUCGGGGCAUACAAUGACCUGUGUUUCCCCGGGACAAAGUCCUCUCUGUGUCCGCCGGAGCUCCCCCGCUUUGAUGGAGGCGAUUGGCCGUGUUCAGCACAGCACGUCCGCCGCUGUGUGUGAUUAAUCAUCGUGUUAAACGCUGGAGCUCAGCGUGCCUGAGGUGGAGGGAAGGCGGCAGGCCGACGCCCCGGGCUAGCAUCCCUCGGUAGCGAAUGAAAGAGUGGAGAAAAGUCAUCACCUGCCACAUCUGGUUUAAAUUAAGGCAGAGGCAGCCAGGCCUGAUGGCUCCUGCUGCUGGAGUGUCUGAGGCUUUGACGGUGGCUCUGUGUCGUGUGGUGUUGGCGUCUGUGCUGUGCCAAGCGGCGUGUGUGGUUAACAGAUGACUGGGAACCUGUAGGGGAGUGAGACGGCUGCAGGUCGAGGCAGAAGCCCUUUUGGUUCAAGUUGAUGCACAAAUUGAGCCUUGACAGUCAAACCUGAAUAAGAAGUACAACAAGAUGGGGAGAAUGACAGGCCAGGCUGUGAGUGACGAAACUUAGAGAGAAGGCGAACAAGAAACCAAGCAGCAGAGGGAGCAACAAGAAGGAGAAACUCGGCAGCCGUCACUGCAAAAUGGAGAAUCUAUCAAAGCUAUACCUGGGUGGGAUUUGAAGACGCCUUCCAGUCUCAAAGAUUCCUUACAUCAGGGUACCACCGCCUCUUACACGUCUCUGAUCUCUGGUGAUUUUCCAUUCUGCACCAUUGUAUUAAAAAGGCAGAGGUGUGUUUCUUACUAAAUGACCAUCUCAUCAUCCCUGAUGUGUUUAAAAGAAGCUUUUAUUCAUGGUGUGUGUCACACCAGUGGUUUUCACUUUUUGUGCACAAGGCACACCUGUAUUCAUGUCCAUGGAAAAUGUUCUCUAUACCACAUGCUACCAACCUUGUCACUCUGUAAACAUUUAUUUUUAUUUACUUAUGACAAAUACAAUGAGUGAGUGAGAGAGGAGAGGUGCAGCUGGCAGGAGAGGGAAGCAUCAAGAUCUAAUCACUCCUUAUAGACCAAACUAAAAAGAGAGCUGCACUAGGAAUAAAUAGGAAUAAAUUGCUUAUAAACACUACAUAUCAACAGAGAAGAGUAUGCACUGACUUGGAAUGAAAAACUUCAGUCUAAAUUUGUAAAGAAAAGAGAUGCAUUGAGAUUGAAAACAGGUUGACACCAAGUUCCUACCCUAUUAAUAAUCUCUGGACCCCUCAGAUGUAAUUUGUGUCCCCUCGCAGGAGGCCUACCUCCCAGUGGAAACCACUGGGCAACCUAUGUGACUUAUUUAAAGUUAAAACUAACUCAGCCUUUGCUAGCCAGAACAAUAAAAUGCCAUUUAAACAGUGAUGUAUCAUUGAUAACAAUCUCUAAUUGUCAUAUAUUAUAUGAGUAAUUGGGAUGAUUUUAUUUUGCUUUUACAUUUUACAGAAUUCUGUGUGUUCUCCAAUGAAUAGGAUGCAUAUUGCUUGUAUAUUCAUGGAUAUAAACCAAAA